UGCGUAGGCGGAAUAUUAAGUCAGUGGUGAAAUCCUGCGGCUCAACCGUAGAACUGUCAUUGAUACUGAUAUUCUUGAAUGUAGUUGAGGUAGGCGGAAUGUGUAAUGUAGCGGUGAAAUGCUUAGAUAUUACACAGAACACCGAUUGCGAAGGCAGCUUACUAAACUAUGAUUGACGCUGAGGCACGAAAGCGUGGGGAGCGAACAGGAUUAGAUACCCUGGUAGUCC
rnacentral:rRNA from 1 species